rnacentral:rRNA from 1 species
GUUUAGUCAUGGCUCAGAACGAACGCUGGCGGCAGGCCUAACACAUGCAAGUCGAGCGCACCUUCGGGUGAGCGGCGGACGGGUUAGUAACGCGUGGGAAUAUGCCCUUCUCUAAGGAAUAGCCUCUGGAAACGGAGAGUAAUACCUUAUACGCCCUUCGGGGGAAAGAUUUAUCGGAGAAGGAUUAGCCCGCGUAAGAUUAGAUAGUUGGUGGGGUAAUGGCCUACCAAGUCUACGAUCUUUAGCUGGUUUGAGAGGAUGAUCAGCAACACUGGGACUGAGACACGGCCCAGACUCCUACGGGAGGCAGCAGUGGGGAAUCUUAGACAAUGGGCGCAAGCCUGAUCUAGCCAUGCCGCGUGAGUGACGAAGGCCUUAGGGUCGUAAAGCUCUUUCGCCAGAGAUGAUAAUGACAGUAUCUGGUAAAGAAACCCCGGCUAACUCCGUGCCAGCAGCCGCGGUAAUACGGA